rnacentral:lncRNA from 1 species
AUGGGUUUAUAACAAAUGUAGAUGUAAUAUAUAUGACAAUAAUAGCACUAAGGAGAAGGGGUAAAUGGAAUUUGCUCUUGUGAGUUUUCUAUAUUUCAUCUGGACUAAUUCAAUAUAACUAGGUAGACUGGGAUUAGCUAAGGAUCCACUUUGUAAACACUAGAAAAAGUAAAAAAUAAUGAAAAAUGUAGCUACAAAGUCAACAGAGAAAUUAAAAUGGAAUAUGAAAAAAUAUUUGAUUAACAUAAAAGGAAGAAAAUGAGGAACAAAAAACCAAAAAAAUUUGGUAAGACAAAUAGAUAAUAAACAGCAAAAUGGCAGAGCUUUAAAUACAAUCAUAUCAAUAAGUAUAUCAAAUGCAAAUAAACUAAACUCUCCAAUCACAAAGCAGAAACUGUUAGAGUGGAUAAAAAGUAAGCACCAACUACAUGAUGUCUACAUGAGAUGCACUUCUAAUACAAAUAGAAUAAAAAUUUUACAGAUGGAGGAAGGUAUACCAUGCAAACAAUAACCACAAGAGAGGAGUUGUUGUAUUAGUAUUAGACAAAAUAGACCUCAAGAAAAUGAGUUAUUACUAGAGACAAAAGGAAAUACUUCAUAAAGCAUCAAUAUAUAAGGAAGAUAUGACAAUUAUGAAUGUGUAUGUAAGCCACAAUGGAUGGUGACUUCACAGUGAAAACUCUUUAUUUUAGGGAAGAAGGAAUAUGAAUGUUGGGUAGACAACUAGGCUUUUCUGCCACAGGCAGAUUAUUUAUCCUCUCUGUAAAAUAGAUAACAUUUUAUAGGAUUGUUGUGAGGAUUAAAUGACUGCCCACAGUAGGCACUUAAUCAUAUGGGUUAUUGUUGAUGCUGUUACUAUUAUCUUGUGGUAGACUGCAUCUAUGAGCAAAAGCUCAGCUAAAAUUAAGUUGUCCCUCUAUAUAGGGAAAAGAAUCCCUGAAGAAGGGGUGAAGUAAGUAGAAUGUCCACCCAAACGUCAUUUUGGGAUCAGAGUGGGCCCUGACUCCAGGAGAAGAAAAAAGUAUUAUAGAGAGUUGGUGGGGUGGAUGGCCCUUGCUUGGUAUGGGGACGGGGGUGCUAAAGGGAAUUUGGAUCUGGGAAGAAACUAGACAGAAGACUUGCAUAAUGAAAAUAUUGUUUACUGUGUGUAAUGAAAUGUUGCCUUCUCCUCCAUCUGUCAUAAAAAAAAAUUCAGCAAAAUCCAUAUUGCUCACCAAACUGGUUAGGAUAAAGUUCAGGAGACAGUAACAGAAACUCUAAUGAACAGUCAUAUACAAGACAGAUGCUUCUUUCUCUCUUGUAUAAGAGAAAUCAAGAGACAGCUCAGGGCUGAUAUGGUGGCUCUACAGUAAUCAAAGGGCUGAGGUCCUUCCAGUUUUCUGCUCUGUUAUGCUUUAGGUGUGGCUCUUGUCCCCUUGAUCCAAUAUGAAUUUUGGAGCAUCAGUCACCACAUCUACAUUUCGAGCAGCAAGAUGGGAGAGAGGAAAGAAUAGGUACACACUCCUUCCUUUUCAAAAAGAUUUUUCCAGAAAUACCACACAAUAUUUCCACUUAAAGGUGAGCUGUAGGCUAGGAAAUGUAGUCUUUUAGCUGAAAAACAAUAUAUCCAAAUAAAAAUCUGGGUUCUCUUAUUGAAGAAGGUGAGAAUGGAUGUGAGAAAACCAAGCACUCAUCAAUACUUAUAGAUUUUAUUUAUAAAUGUGUUAUUUGCAUAUUUUUAUGUGUAGACAAAAGAUGUGCAUAAUAGAUCGGUCUAUUGAAUGCAAGGUGAAAGACUGUCAAUGUGAGUCAGUUUAACAAGAGUUACAUCAUAAAAAAAGCUUCCCUCCUUUCUUAUUACAUUAUUAUUACAGUUAUAAACUAACAUUUAAUUAUUCCACGUAAGUUUGCAUCUUACUCUUAGGUCUUCAAUUAGACUUUGCUUCAAGGAAGGUUUGGCAGGCCUACAGCUCUAGUAUUGGCCAGAGGGUGCAGAAGGAACAGACUGUGUAAAUACAUUACUAUAGUACAACAACAAAUUUUUUAUAUAUUAGUGAAUUAGAUCCUUAACUAUGGCCCCCUCACCCAGCCUAAUGUUACCAAGGUCUGUAGUUUUGAACCCCUUUGAUCUUAUUCCUCAUGGGCUGCCUCAAUUACCGAACUUGGGCAUUUGUCAAGUACAAGGAAGCAUUAAAGAGCUGCAUCUAUUCACUUACAUGCUUAUUUGGUGUACAUAUCCCUUGCACUGCUUGUUUGGUACUUUAGUAGUAAACUAAAUGAUAGUAGACUUGAACUGACAGAGUCAACAUUCGCAUCAAUCUUUCUGCCUGGAUUGGACUUUAUAAGCUGGCCCAUAUCAAAAGGAUAUUACUAUGCCAUAUAUAUAUAUAUCUCCAAUAGUUUUCCUAUGCUCUCUUUCCCAUUGCGUAUUUCUACCUUUAGGCCAGACCAACCCAAACAUCUAUGACCAGUCAAAAAAGAAAAGCUGAUGGUAUUUCAUCUCUGGUCAAUGCCUCUCUUCAAAGCCAUUUCCUGGUAUAAUCCAUCCUUUAAUUCAUCAAAUAUACAUUCAGUAUUGACUAUGUACCAGGCACUGUGCCUAGUAUUAGGAAUAUAGCAAAGAACAGAUACUUAAAGUUCUUCUCAGAAAUGCCUUACCUGCUGGGCAUGGUGGCUCACACCUGUAAUCCCUUCACUUUAGGAGGAUGAGGUGGGAGGAUCACUUGAGUCCAGAAGUUUGAGACCAGCCUGGGCAACAUAGAAAGACCCUAUCUCUACAAAAAUGAAAAAAUUAGUUGGGCAUGGUGGCUUGCACCUGUAGUCCCAGUUUUUCAGGAGGCUGAGGUGGGACGAUUUCUUGAGGCUGGGAGGUGGAGGCACUACUGCACUCCGGCCCAGGUGACAGCACAAGACCUUGUUUUUUUGUUGUUGUUUGUUUUUAAAAAAAAGCCUUUCCUGAUAGUAGUUACCUCAACCACUGAGUAUUCUCUCUCUCUGCCUCAUUCUAUUCGUAACAUCUUUUAGAAAUCUGUCAUUUAAUUUAUUUUUAGCCUUACCACAGUUCCAUAUGGGCAGGGAAAUUCUGUACUUUUCACCAUCAUAUCUCCAGUGCCUUGCACAGUGUGAUACAUAAACACUUAAAUAUUUGAUUCAUUAACAUAAUAGACCCUCAACACAUACAUCUGAUGUUUCUAAUUGGAGCUCAGAAUUUAGAAUAAAGAAAUUUCCCCAAAAAAAGCCUUGAGAAAAAUUUAAUAAUUGAAUCAUUAAAUUAGUAAAUCAAACCACCAUUUUCCAUGAUUCUAAUAACUAGUAUAUAUUUUAUACAAAAUAAGUCAAUUGUUUUCUCCAGCAUUAUUGAGGUAUAAUUGACAAAUAAAAAAUGAAUAUAUUUAAGGUAUACAAGGUGAUAUUUUGAUACAUGUAUAUUGUGAAAUGAUUACUGCAAUCAAGUUAAUUAGCAUAUCCAUUACCUCACAUAGUUACCUGUUGUGUGUGUAUGUGGUGAGAACAUUUAAGAUCCGUCUUAGCAAAUUUCACAUAUAUAAUAGUGUCUUAUUAACUGUAGUCACCAUGUUGGACAUUAAAUCUCCAAAACUUAUUCAUCCUGCAUAAGUGAAACUCUGUACCCUUCACCAACAUCUUCCCAUUCCUCCUACCUCCUAGCUCCUGGCAAACACCAUUUUACUUUCUGCCUCUAGUUCUACCUUUUUAGAUUUCACAUGUACGCGAGAUCACACAGUAUUUGUCUUUGUGUGCCUGACUCAUUUCACUUAGUAAAAUGUCCUCCAAGCUCAUCCAUGUUGUCCCAAAAGACAAGAUUUCCUUUUUUUUGAGACGGAGUCUUGCUCUGUCGCCGAGG